AACGAACGCUGGCGGCAGGCUUAACACAUGCAAGUCGAGCGCCCCGCAAGGGGAGCGGCAGACGGGUGAGUAACGCAUGGGAAUCUGCCCAUCUCUACGGAAUAACGCAUGGAAACGUGUGCUAAUACCGUAUACGUCCUUCGGGAGAAAGAUUUAUCGGAGAUGGAUGAGCCCGCGUUGGAUUAGCUAGUUGGUGGGGUAAAGACCUACCAAGGCGACGAUACAAAGCUGGUCUGAGAGGAUGAUCAGCCACACCGGAACUGAGACACGGCCCAGACUCCUACGGGAGGCAGAGGUGGGGAAUAUUGGACAAUGGGCGCAAGCCUGAUCCAGCCAUGCCGCGUGAGUGAUGAAGGCCCUAGGGUUGUAAAGCUCUUUCACCGGUGAAGAUAAUGACGGUAACCGGAGAAGGCGCCCCGGCUAACUUCGUGCCAGCAGCCGCCGUAAUAC
rnacentral:rRNA from 1 species